rnacentral:rRNA from 1 species
UACGUAGGGGGCAAGCGUUGUCCGGAUUUAUUGGGCGUAAAGAGCGUGUAGGCGGUUAGGUAGGUCCGUUGUGAAAACUCGAGGCUCAACCUCGAGACGUCGGCGGAAACCAUCUGGCUAGAGUCCGGAAGAGGAGAGUGGAAUUCCUGGUGUAGCGGUGAAAUGCGCAGAUAUCAGGAAGAACACCCGUGGCGAAGGCGGCUCUCUGGGACGGUACUGACGCUGAGACGCGAAAGCGUGGGGAGCGAAACAGG